rnacentral:rRNA from 1 species
AUGAAGUUCGCUUCCCCGCUCACUCACGACGAGGAGCGUGUCGACGCGUGGUAUGACGGCGAACCGCUGCGGUACCGUACGAUGGAUAAUGUGCUCGGCGACCAGCCGGUGCCAGGACUGGUGCCACGUGACCUGGAGGCGCAGCUACAGCUCGUGUGUGAAGACGGCGAACCACGGUCCUUUGCAGAGGCCGAGAGAGACGCGGCAUGGCGCGCCGCGAUGAAGUUGGAGAUGGAUGCGGUCGAGCAAAACCGCACCUGGGAGCUCGCUGAUCUCCCUCGAGGUCACCGCGCAAUCACCCUUAAGUGGGUGUUCAAGCUGAAGAGGGAUGGAGCCGGCGCCAUCAUCAAGCACAAGGCUCGCUUGGUGGCUCGAGGCUUCUUGCAGCAGGAAGGAGUCGACUUCGACGACGCUUUCGCUCCCGUGGCACGGAUGGAGUCCGUGCGACUUCUCCUUGCGCUGGCUGCCCAGGAGGGCUGGCGUGUCCACCACAUGGACGUUAAGUCGGCAUUCCUCAACGGCGACUUGAAGGAGGAAGUCUACGUGCAUCAGCCACCGGGGUUUACGAUUCCCGGCCAGGAGGGCAAGGUGCUCCGCCUGCGCAAGGCUCUCUAUGGCCUGCGGCAGGCACCCAGGGCGUGGAACGCCAAGCUGGACUCCACGCUGAAGAAGAUGGGUUUCGAGCAGAGCCCGCAUGAGGCUGCCGUCUACCGACGGGGGAGUGGAGGAAAUGCCCUGCUGGUGGGCGUCUACGUUGACGACCUGGUGAUCACCGGCACCAAAGAUGCUGAGGUGGCGGCGUUCAAGGAAGACAUGAAGGCCACGUUCCAGAUGAGUGACCUGGGGCUCCUCUCCUUCUAUGUAGGGAUUGAGGUGCACCAGGACCACUCCGGGAUCGCGCUUCGACAGUCCGCCUACGCCAAGCGCAUCGUUGAGCUAGCUGGGCUCACCGACUGCCAUCCAGCUCUCACUCCGAUGGAGGAGAGGCUGAAACUAAGCCGCGACAGCACGACGGAGGAAGUGGAUGCUACGCAGUACCGACGCCUUGUGGGGAGCCUUCGCUACCUCACUCACACACGGCCGGACUUGGCAUUCUCCGUCGGCUAUGUCAGUCGGUUCAUGGAGCGACCAACGUCGGAACACCAGCAGGCAGUGAAGAGGAUCGUCCGCUACAUAGCAGGGACCCUCGACCACGGCCUCCACUACCCUAGGUGUCCUGGGGCGGCACACUUCGUCGGGUACAGCGACGGCGACCACGCCGGCGACAUCGACACCAGCAAGAGCACGAGCGGGAUCCUCCUCUUCCUCGGCAAGUGUCUCGUGAGCUGGCAAUCAGUCAAGCAGCAGGUGGUGGCCCUGUCCAGCUGUGAGGCUGAGUACAUAGCGGCCUCCACCGCCUGCACUCAGGCGCUCUGGCUUGCUCGACUGCUUGGUGAUCUUCUCGUUCAAGACACCAAAACGGUGCAGCUCCUGGUGGACAGCAAGUCCGCCCUGGCCCUGGCAAAGAACCCCGUGUUCCACGAACGGAGCAAGCACAUCCGACUGAGGUAUCACUUCAUCCGCAGCUGUGUGGAAGAAGGGAGCAUCGAGGCGAGCUACAUCAACACCAAGGAUCAGCUCGCAGACCUGCUCACCAAGCCCCUUGGGAGGGUCAAGUUCCUCGAACUUUGCUCCAGGAUUGGGAUGAUUCAACUCUCCCACAAGACGACGUACAAGACUUAG